rnacentral:rRNA from 1 species
AUUGAACGCUGGCGGCAUGCUUUACACAUGCAAGUCGAACGGUAACAGGCCGCAAGGUGCUGACGAGUGGCGUACGGGGGAGUAAUGCAUCGGAACGUGCCCAGUCGUGGGGGAUAACUACUCGAAAGAGUAGCUAAUACCGCAUACGAACUAUGGAUGCAAGCGGGGGACCGUAAGGCCUCGCGCGAUUGGAGCGGCCGAUGUCAGAUUAGGUAGGUGGUGGGGUAAAGGUGCACCAAGCCAACGAUCUGUAACUGGUCUGAGAGGACGACCCGCCACACUGGGACUGAGAAACGGCCCAGACUCCUACGGGAGGCAGCAGUGGGGAAUCUUGGACAAUGGGCGCAAGCCUGAUCCAGCAAUGCCGCGUGCAGGAAGAAGGCCUUCGGGUUGUAAACUGCUUUUGUACGGAACGAAACGGCUCUGGUUAAUACCCGGGGCUAAUGACGGUACCGUAAGAAUAAGCACCGGCUAACUACGUG